rnacentral:rRNA from 1 species
CAGGGAAUCUUGCACAAUGGGCGAAAGCCUGACGGAGCGACGCCGCGUGUAGGAUGAAGGCCCUCGGGUUGUAAACUACUGUCACGGGUUAUGAAUGUGCAUAUGUUAACAGCGUGUGUAUUGACGUAAGCCCGAAAGGAAGCACCGGCUAACUCUGUGCCAGCAGCCGCGGUAAUACAGAGGGUGCAAACGUUGUUCGGAAUUACUGGGCGUAAAGGGCUCGUAGGCGGCCAACUAAGUCAGACGUGAAAUCCCUCGGCUUAACCGGGGAACUGCGUCUGAUACUGGAUGGCUUGAGGUUGGGAGAGGGAUGCGGAAUUCCAGGUGUAGCGGUGAAAUGCGUAGAUAUCUGGAGGAACACCGGUGGCGAAGGCGACAUCCUGGACCAAUUCUGACGCUGAGGAGCGAAAGCCAGGGGAGCAAACGGGAUUAGAUACCCACGUAGUCCCUGAGCGGGCUGGCAAGGCGCAU